rnacentral:rRNA from 1 species
UACCAGCACCUCGAGUGGUCGGGACGAUUAUUGGGCCUAAAGCCUCCGUAGCCGGUUUUACAAGUCCUCCGUUAAAUCCAGCUGCUUAACAGAUGGGCUGCGGAGGAUACUAUAAGACUAGGAGGCAGGAGAGGCAAGCGGUACUCAGUGGGUAGGGGUAAAAUCCGUUGAUCCAUUGAAGACCACCAGUGGCGAAGGCGGCUUGCCAGAACGCGCUCGACGGUGAGGGAUGAAAGCUGGGGGAGCAAACCGG